GACAGUGGGUGCAAACGUUGCUCGGAAUCACUGGGCGUAAAGGGCGCGUAGGCGGGGAUGUAAGUCGGGCGUGAAAUCCCCAGGCUCAACCUGGGAACUGCACUCGAAACUGCGUUUCUUGAGUAUCGGAGAGGAAAGCGGAAUUCCUGGUGUAGAGGUGAAAUUCGUAGAUAUCAGGAGGAACACCAGUGGCGAAGGCGGCUUUCUGGACGGUAACUGACGCUGAGGCGCGAAAGCGUGGGGAGCAAACAGG
rnacentral:rRNA from 1 species